AACAAAAACAUGUCCUUUAGUUAUUUAUUUAAGGUCUAAUCUGCCCAGUGAUUAAUUAAAUGGCCGCAGUAAUUUGACUGUGCGAAGGUAGCAUAAUCAUUAGUUUUUUAAUUGAAAGCUUGUAUGAAUGAUUGGACGAGAAAAAUACUGUCUCUUAUUAAACUAUAGAAUUUUAUUUUUUAGUUAAAAAGCUAAAAUUUUAUUAAAAGACGAGAAGACCCUAUAAAGCUUUAUAUUUAUUAAAUUUAUUAAUUUUUGGUAAUUUUAUUUUUUUAAAUUUAUAUAAUAUUUAAUUGGGGAAAUUUAAAGAUUAAAAUAAUUCUUUAUUUUUAAUACAUAUAUAUAUGUAUAUUUGAUCCUUUAUUAAAGAUUUAAGAUUAAGUUACUUUAGGGAUAACAGCGUAAUUUUUUUGGAGAGUUCAUAUCGAUAAAAAAGUUUGCGACCUCGAUGUUG
rnacentral:rRNA from 1 species